CUAAUCAUCAUGAAGCAAAGAAUCCACAGCUGAGCAGGACCGAUUGAAAAAAAGGGCUGCCUACCAGUCCCUGCACCUCAUAUAAUUGUACAACAUACUGGCUCAGCUGCCCUGGUUCUCCGUGCCACCUAAAAGAAAUCCAUAAAGAAAAAAACACUUUCACAGGCAAAGCAAUUUCUUUCUAAAUCAGCCAGAUGAGCUGAGGUCUUAACUGAUGGAAGCUUUCUUCAUUGGAAUUUGUACCAAGGGUAGAUUUGUAUGGUACAUUGUCACUUAUAAAACUAUCUGCAUGAAACAAGUCAAAACUUUUCUUUGCUCUCACGGAACUCACCCUUUUCCCUGUGGUGCAACAAAAUCAAGCUUUCUCCUCCCAGGUGAGAAGACCUGGCAGCU